UUAAGCGACUAAGCGUACACGGUGGAUGCCCUGGCAGUCAGAGGCGAUGAAGGGCGUGCUAAUCUGCGAUAAGCGCCGGUAAGGUGAUAUGAACCGUUAUAACCGGCGAUACCCGAAUGGGGAAACCCAGUGUGACUCGUCACACUAUCAUUAACUGAAUCCAUAGGUUAAUGAGGCGAACCGGGGGAACUGAAACAUCUAAGUACCCCGAGGAAAAGAAAUCAACCGAGAUUCCCCCAGUAGCGGCGAGCGAACGGGGAGGAGCCCAGAGCCUGAAUCAGCAUGUGUGUUAGUGGAAGCGUCUGGAAAGGCGCGCGAUACAGGGUGACAGCCCCGUACACAAAAGCGCAUGUGCUGUGAGCUCGAUGAGUAGGGCGGGACACGUGGUAUCCUGUCUGAAUAUGGGGGGACCAUCCUCCAAGGCUAAAUACUCCUGACUGACCGAUAGUGAACCAGUACCGUGAGGGAAAGGCGAAAAGAACCCCGGCGAGGGGAGUGAAAAAGAACCUGAAACCGUGUACGUACAAGCAGUGGGAGCCCCACCACCAAAGCAUUCUCUGGUGUUGAAGGCCCUGCAAAGCAGCAUCGCGGUGGCGGAGCGUCGUUUGCGACGCCCAACACACAAAACAAGCGGUGAGUGCUUUGGGGUGGGGUGACUGCGUACCUUUUGUAUAAUGGGUCAGCGACUUAUAUUCUGUAGCAAGGUUAACCGUAUAGGGGAGCCGUAGGGAAACCGAGUCUUAACCGGGCGUUAAGUUGCAGGGUAUAGACCCGAAACCCGGUGAUCUAGCCAUGGGCAGGUUGAAGGUUGGGUAACACUAACUGGAGGACCGAACCGACUAAUGUUGAAAAAUUAGCGGAUGACUUGUGGCUGGGGGUGAAAGGCCAAUCAAACCGGGAGAUAGCUGGUUCUCCCCGAAAGCUAUUUAGGUAGCGCCUCGUGAAUUCAUCUUCGGGGGUAGAGCACUGUUUCGGCUAGGGGGUCAUCCCGACUUACCAACCCGAUGCAAACUGCGAAUACCGGAGAAUGUUAUCACGGGAGACACACGGCGGGUGCUAACGUCCGUCGUGAAGAGGGAAACAACCCAGACCGCCAGCUAAGGUCCCAAAGUCAUGGUUAAGUGGGAAACGAUGUGGGAAGGCCCAGACAGCCAGGAUGUUGGCUUAGAAGCAGCCAUCAUUUAAAGAAAGCGUAAUAGCUCACUGGUCGAGUCGGCCUGCGCGGAAGAUGUAACGGGGCUAAACCAUGCACCGAAGCUGCGGCAGCGACACUGUGUGUUGUUGGGUAGGGGAGCGUUCUGUAAGCCUGCGAAGGUGGCCUGUGAGGGUUGCUGGAGGUAUCAGAAGUGCGAAUGCUGACAUAAGUAACGAUAAAGCGGGUGAAAAGCCCGCUCGCCGGAAGACCAAGGGUUCCUGUCCAACGUUAAUCGGGGCAGGGUGAGUCGACCCCUAAGGCGAGGCCGAAAGGCGUAGUCGAUGGGAAACGGGUUAAUAUUCCUGUACUUGGUGUUACUGCGAAGGGGGGACGGAGAAGGCUAUGUUGGCCGGGCGACGGUUGUCCCGGUUUAAGCGUGUAGGUGUGUGUUCCAGGUAAAUCCGGUUCACUUUAACACUGAGGCGUGAUGACGAGGCACUACGGUGCUGAAGCAACAAAUGCCCUGCUUCCAGGAAAAGCCUCUAAGCAUCAGGUAACAUCAAAUCGUACCCCAAACCGACACAGGUGGUCAGGUAGAGAAUACCAAGGCGCUUGAGAGAACUCGGGUGAAGGAACUAGGCAAAAUGGUGCCGUAACUUCGGGAGAAGGCACGCUGACAUGUAGGUGAAGUGAUUUACUCAUGGAGCUGAAGUCAGUCGAAGAUACCAGCUGGCUGCAACUGUUUAUUAAAAACACAGCACUGUGCAAACACGAAAGUGGACGUAUACGGUGUGACGCCUGCCCGGUGCCGGAAGGUUAAUUGAUGGGGUCAGCGCAAGCGAAGCUCCUGAUCGAAGCCCCGGUAAACGGCGGCCGUAACUAUAACGGUCCUAAGGUAGCGAAAUUCCUUGUCGGGUAAGUUCCGACCUGCACGAAUGGCGUAAUGAUGGCCAGGCUGUCUCCACCCGAGACUCAGUGAAAUUGAACUCGCUGUGAAGAUGCAGUGUACCCGCGGCAAGACGGAAAGACCCCGUGAACCUUUACUAUAGCUUGACACUGAACAUUGAGCCUUGAUGUGUAGGAUAGGUGGGAGGCUUUGAAGUGUGGACGCCAGUCUGCAUGGAGCCGACCUUGAAAUACCACCCUUUAAUGUUUGAUGUUCUAACGUGGACCCGUGAUCCGGGUUGCGGACAGUGUCUGGUGGGUAGUUUGACUGGGGCGGUCUCCUCCUAAAGAGUAACGGAGGAGCACGAAGGUUGGCUAAUCCUGGUCGGACAUCAGGAGGUUAGUGCAAUGGCAUAAGCCAGCUUGACUGCGAGCGUGACGGCGCGAGCAGGUGCGAAAGCAGGUCAUAGUGAUCCGGUGGUUCUGAAUGGAAGGGCCAUCGCUCAACGGAUAAAAGGUACUCCGGGGAUAACAGGCUGAUACCGCCCAAGAGUUCAUAUCGACGGCGGUGUUUGGCACCUCGAUGUCGGCUCAUCACAUCCUGGGGCUGAAGUAGGUCCCAAGGGUAUGGCUGUUCGCCAUUUAAAGUGGUACGCGAGCUGGGUUUAGAACGUCGUGAGACAGUUCGGUCCCUAUCUGCCGUGGGCGCUGGAGAACUGAGGGGGGCUGCUCCUAGUACGAGAGGACCGGAGUGGACGCAUCACUGGUGUUCGGGUUGUCAUGCCAAUGGCACUGCCCGGUAGCUAAAUGCGGAAGAGAUAAGUGCUGAAAGCAUCUAAGCACGAAACUUGCCCCGAGAUGAGUUCUCCCUGAGACUUUAGGUCUCCUGAAGGAACGUUGAAGACGACGACGUUGAUAGGCCGGGUGUGUAAGCGCAGCGAUGCGUUGAGCUAACCGGUACUAAUGAACCGUGAGGCUUAACCUU
rnacentral:rRNA from 1 species